GGUGGUUCAGUGGUGAAGUCCUCAGCUGUUAACUGAGAGGUUGGUGGUUCAAACCCACCAGCCACUC
rnacentral:tRNA from 1 species